rnacentral:rRNA from 1 species
CUACGGGAGGCAGCAGUGGGGAAUUUUGCGCAAUGGAGGAAACUCUGACGCAGCAACGCCGCGUGGGUGAUGAAGGUCUUCGGAUUGUAAAACCCUGUCGUCGGGGACGAAGGCAGUUCGGUGAAUAGCCGGAUUGUUUGACGGUACCCGGAGAGGAAGCCCCGGCUAACUCUGUGCCAGCAGCCGCGGUAAUACAGAGGGGGCAAGCGUUAUUCGGAAUUAUUGGGCGUAAAGGGCGCGUAGGCGGUGCUUUAAGUCGGAUGUGUAAUCCCCGAGCUCAACUUGGGAACUGCAUCCGAGACUGGAGUGCUGGAGUGCUGGAGAGGGUGGUGGAAUUCCUCGUGUAGCGGUGAAAUGCGUAGAGAUGAGGAGGAACACCAGUGGCGAAGGCGGCCACCUGGACAGUAACUGACGCUGAGGCGCGAAAGUGUGGGUAGCAAACAGGAUUAGAUACCCCAGUAGUCU